AAACUAUUAGGAAUGAAGUUAAGAGUCAAUGUACUUUUAUAUGUUUAGUUAUUAUUAAUGAAAGCGUUAAUAUCGUGACGUUGAGCAGUUUGUAAUAUGAUUUUGUUGACGGCGUAGCUUCUCUUGUUCUCAUUUGUAACAUCCACACUUAGCUUUUUAGGUUUGAAAAACAUUUUACAAUGCGAUUUUAUUUUUUAACGAUCAAAUCACAUUAUUGCCUGUAAGCUUGUAACCCCGCAUGACUCAUUUGGAUUGCGGCGAAACAAACUUUAAGGCCUUUUUAAACAUCAAAUUUUGCUUCGCAUGGGGUAAAUUUUGCUCGAAGGAUUAAUUUCUAGCAUAUUAAAGGAAAUGAUCUCUAUUUCGUGCGUCAAAAAUAACUUUUAUUAUUAUUAUUUUUUAUUUGAAAUUUCUUGAGUAUGAACAAUCACGUUACCGAGAUGAAAGAAGAUGCGAAAUCUUUAGAUCCUGUUGGAUUAUCUUUCGCGAUAUCGCGCUAGAGAAAAUGAUGUGGAAGAUUUAUCUAUUAUACAAAAACUGAGCCACACUUGAAAAAUAAUAAUGAGCAAAGUUUAAAAUUGAUUUCGAUCACAACAUGCAGAAUAGAAGCACGAUCGAAGUAUUAAAAUCCUAUUCGUCUAUUGUAAGGUAAUUAAGAAGGUGCAGUUUAAUAGAUCUUCAUUUAUCCGUUUUACUCUUUUUUUUUAUUAACAAGUUAUAUUCUCACGCUUAUGUCACGAUACACAUCACGUCUUUGUAAACGUCCGGUUCUACUUUAACUUGAUUUUAGUCACGACCAGACAUUCCAUCAGUAGAAUUGCGACCUAGCCGAGUUAAUUCUCUGAACGGGUGCGGAAAGACCAUUUCACAGUAGCGUAUUAUGCACAUAUUCGACUUCCGCCAGACUGUCAAUGACACACCUAGGAAAAAUCUUAUCCGGGGUCACACGAAAUACGUCAAACUACGUCCUUUUAUUGUCCUUGUUCGAUCAUUCAUAACGUCUCGUUAUUGUUUUAUUGAGACUCGUAUCGAUGAACCUAUAUGAACUAUCGCAUACUUGUCUAUAAAAUGGACGAGAGGCCUUAAAACGUUUUAUGCAUUUCCUGCCAUCUUACUCGGAUUAGGUUGAUACUUUUAGAAUCCGAUUUUAAACGCACUUUACAGGAAAGUUUCGAUUGAAGUCGUUUUAUCAUAAAAUUAUUCUGAUUCCUCUCCAACUUGGAAAUAUGAGUUGUUAAAAUUAUCAUCUAGUGAAAGGCCUUUAGUGGGCUCCUCUUUCCGAGAUCAGUACAGAUACAGCACCACAUAUGUACAAUACAAACAGGUUUAUCGAGUUAUCAUUAUUUUCAUUGCUUCGAUAAAGGGACCCUGAUGUAAGGGCCUUCUUCUGUAUCGCAAUAUUUGAACGCAUAUACGGUUACUGGGAGAAUACGAUCACAUUAUUUCAAGAAUUCACUAAUAAAAAUGUUAUUUGUUAAUAAGGAAGACGUGUUAAGAGAUGCCGAAGUUAGAUUAAAAUCGUGUUUCUAUUUUUACUUUUCUUUUUGUACAUCUGCUAACUGCUGUUCAACAGAACUAAAGCCAGGGUUUGUUUUCUAUAUUUUCGGGAAUACAACCAAAAUUGAAGAUGCUUUUCCUACGAAAAAAAAAGAAAAUGGUUCAGUUUCUGCUUUUUUAUUCAAUUCUUUUCGGCAUCUCUGAUUCACUUCAUCCACUUCGGAAUCGAAAAAAUAAAACGUAAAACUAGGAUUUCGACCGGGCUUUUUCUAGAUAGAACAAGACGAUUGUUAGAAAAUCUGCAAAGCACUGUCAUUUUAUUCGUAGUUAACAAUUGCAACCACCGAUAGAGGACAAGCGACGCGUUUAAAUAUCAAAACAAGAUAAUCUGCAUAUUUAACACUAUAAGAGGAAGUGAAGAGGAGGAGAGGAAAAAAUUUAUCCACAGUAUAUAUUUAGGAAGAAAGAAAGGCGGCGACAAGUUCCGGAAUGUGAAAAUCUCUAAUGACAUCCGGGUUACAAAGAGCGGAACAAAUUCCGAAGAGCCGUUCCCAGACGAGCAAUUUAAUUGAUGACAAACUCGGUGGCUUUCAUUUCGGACGUUUCCACCACCAAAUUGAUCCUCAAUCCCCCAUCUACGAGAUGCAGAAAUCUUGGCUGGAGGAAUAACUGUAGAUAGAAUCUUCUUUAAGCGAGAGUUUUUAAGAAAUUUGCGGCGACUGUGGUUCCUUAAAUGGAAAAGUUUCAGAGUUUCCAUAUUAUGACACCUGCUGUUGAUGAUGGUGAUAAUUAGACAGUUGGCUAGUCGAGAUCACGAGGCCAUUGACAUUGUCUGGUAUGUGGAUGUAGGCGUUCUGGCAUCGAUUCCAUUAGAACUACUAGUUUUUGGAACUCGCUAGUUAAUGGUCAUCCAGAAAUUUCAUUUCGCCAAUUUUAACCAUGGUUAACGGGAAAAUAAUGGAUAAAAAUUGAUGUCUGUCCGCCAUUCGUAUCACCAGACAGUUGGUAUAAUCGCGAAUUUCGAAAUCUUAACUUUAUAAAAGAUAAUAAAAGAUUACUAACCUCUUUAACGAUUUUCUCAUUGUAUGUCGAGUUAAUCCAUCACCCGAAAAUUUUCACACCGUCAAGUAGAAGCAGGGAGAAUUUAUCUCAAAUCCAUGUGCAUUCUUUCCACCCUCACCGCCCACCCUGUGACCUUUACCACCAACCUGGUGGCUUUUGUGACUCGUCCCCACCAACCUCGCCGCUUUUGUGACAACGACAUGAAGUCGAAAGUGAAAAGGGAUCCAGUUGCACGUGACCAUCUCUUCACGUGAGGGAAUUCCAUCCACUUCGAAACGUUCACCCACUCACUUGAAAGGUUGGGGUGCGCCCUUUCGAUUAAAUUCGAAAUUUUUCAAGAUGUUUACAAUCGUCACCAAUUUUUUAAAGCAAAUAAUCGCUUUAAAAUUCUGUAAAAAAAAAAUUUAUCUGACUCCGUACAAAUUUAAAUUACAUACACGUACUGAUACAGCGCAUAUAUAUGUAGCGUUUUGAAUAUAUUUUUUCGAGACAAAACGCGUUAUGUCUGAUCGCACAUCUGCAUAUGCAAUUUCAUCUCGACCAGAACGAUGGGACAAAGAAAAACAAGUUCUAAACAUAUGUCUGUAUAUCUUUUCCAAUAAACGGAACACAGUCGAUCCGAAACAGUCUCGAAACAUUUUAAUUACAACUUAAUUUUAUUUCGGAUCUGUGAUACACCGAUCUCGAAUCAUUUAAACACCUUCUACAUGGACUUAUCGUAGUUUCCAUCCCAACGUUUUCCACACCCAAAUUUAGUGUCGAAUUUCGAAUAAGAGGAGACCAAUCGUAAAUGGAUUCUGGAGCAACAACAACUCCGAUACUAAUGGGUUAAUAUUAAACCUUAGAUUUAUUGGAAGUGUUUAAUCAUUAUAGGAAACUGAUUAAGAGAGAUCCGUGAUGUUUAUUGCCAGACGUGCCGAUCAUUUCCGGAAAGAUUUACGUCAAACUACACUUCAUCUACCGCAUCGUGUGGGUUGACGUUUUCUACCCAUAUCCAUUUAGCCUUUCACUCAGAUCGCUUGUUUACCAAAAGACUAGCUAAGGGCUGCGAUUCUUACCAGGAAACAUCGCAAAUCUAUAGGGAGAGAGAGAGUCGCACCGAUGAUGAAUCGAACCAAUCCCAUAAAGAUAAACCAGUAAAUAAGCGGUUAUUCGCAUUCUGUACAAUAACGACAUCAGUUUGUUUAUUGGAAUGAUAAGACGUUGGCUAACCGGCCAUCAUUUUUCUCCAUCCUACCAUUUUAGAAUAUCUCAAACGAAAAAUAGUCUUAUUACUUUUAAAUGAAACAAUAUUUUCCAAUAUAUUCGCCAUUUUUUCGAGUUUCUUCGGAUACGCGCUUCUUGUAAGAUCUUUAAUUAUCGAGGAGAAUUCGAAAUAUUUGUAUAUGUAUUGUUAAUAGCGUAUAUGAGAGUAGAAACGGCAGUAAUACUGCAGUACUUCAUCCCCAGCAUCUCGAAUGUAAUGGCGGAUAAAAAAAAAACUGAUAAAAACCCGAUAAUUAGUUUUCGUGCAUUUAUGCGGCGAGUUUAUACAGCAGACAGUCGGUAUUUAGGAAAGUGCGUAGGUCAAAUUGAUUUUUAAGGGUCGGAACGUUAGGGAGAUUUCUGGUAGUUGAAUGUCUGCCCGAUAGAUGGAGCCGGUAGACGGAAAUCGGCGCCAAACUGUCAGCCUGCAGCAGACUCCUGUCAGACAUUCCUGCUGUCUAGGCGAGGGUAAAUUUUCUGAUGCGUCAUCACUCGCCGCUGACACUGUUCGGGCUGUGUACACCGACUACGCAGUUACGGCCCCCCAACUUAUGGAGUGUAUAAAUAAUUUCCGUCGGUCCAAGUCGAAUAUUAUUUUAACAAUCUUGUGUUUGGUUGGUGUUUUUAGAGAAUUGGUGCGACUCUUGUGGAAAGAUCUAGUUGCUUUCUACCUGUUCAUUCAGCCAGCGAUGUUUUGCGGGACCACCCGGCGCUAGUUGCGCAAUCUCCCACAGGGAAAAAUCGCCAAUAUUCUGUGUUUUGUCGCCGCUUCUCUACCGACGUCAAAGAAAGAUUCGCUCUUUCGUCGAUCGCACAACGGGACUGGUAGGGGGUACUUCGUGUCUCUGUUCUCAUUGGUUUAAACACGCUGACCACGCUUUACUGGCAGCCAAUAGAAAGCGUAGAAGUUACGUCCGGUCGCAGUUUUUCCCAGAAGUUAAACGUUAGUAAAGAAAUAAUACAAUUUGACUGAAUGAAGUCGUUGAGUAGGGAAGUGUAUCGUCAUUCCUUCUCUAGUGUACUGGAUGGUCUGUAUGUGCCUUCUACUCCUCCAAUCGAGGUGAGCCCUUUUUUACUUAUGUACUUGUUCCAUUUAUUCACUUAGAGAAUUUUAACUGUGUAGAGAAAGUGUAAGCAUUCACACUCGACUCCCUUUAUCUCCUUUUGAAAGGAAAGAACCUGAUGUAUCCCCUUUAGCUUGUUGAAACGUUAACAGCGAAAGUAAGAGGAAAGGCAACUUCCGAUACAACCGAUUGGACUUUACAAAUCAACUCGCCGAUAUUUUCUGUCGAUAGAUAAAGCAGAUUUGACCAAAUACGUAUUUUAACAGCGGUAGCCAUCCAAAACCGAGUUUUCGGUUUGGAAUUUGUCCAGUGGUGUGGGUUCUUACGAAGGCGUAUUAACCUUUAUUUAUUGUGGCCGUUUCCAUUUUUAAACGUGUCGAAAUAACGAAAUCGAAAAUAUAUUUGUUACGUUUUAAGCUUUCGAUUUCUAACUGUUACGACGGUCGAAGCGACGGAAAUAGCAGAUUCCGUUUGAUAAGCGCAUUCCUAUCUUCCCUCCUCCUUUUUGACGUGUUUCGAUGAACUUUUGACCGUGCCGAUGACGUCAAGUUUAAAUAAUAUUUGCCAUUGACGUACGUCAGUCCGUACUCUAAACUGUCGAACAGGUAGAACGCAGUACGUGUUACAGUUAAGUUGCGUAGUACACGCCAUACGACUUGGCAUAUGUUAAUGAAGUUAUUUAACAUAUCUGACAUUUGGCCAGGUAAGCUUAAUUGAUUUUUACAAGAAACCGUUUUCUUCUUGGUUAUUAAAAUUUUAAAAGGUCGUUAGUUUGGGAAGUCGUCAAACUUCGUGGAAUUUUUAAAUUUUCACCGCCACCCACGCUAAUUUUGUAAUCAGCUCUUGUAAAUCGAGAAAUAGGUCUAGUAUUAUUCUCGUUAUAAUCGGGGUUUUUACCCCUGUGACCCAUCUGAUUUUUUUUUUCUAUAUUUUGUCGCUACUUAUUACCAAUUUUUAAGUCGUAGAUACUACGUAAAAAUCUAAUGUCGCGUUAUAUUAGUUCUAAUUUUAGGAACUUCUUACGAUCGGAAGUGAUAUCUGAAGGACCAAAUUCUAAUUUUAAAGCUUCGAUUCUGUCGUGUUUUUAUUUUAUAAGAUAUGGGAGACACAUGAAUUUAUAGAAUAUUGGUAUGACGUAGGAGCCAACGGUAUUUGUCAAUAAAAUAGGGGAUAAGUGUUUAAGUUACAGAUGGUUUGUGUGUACGUGUGUGUGUGUGCGCGAAGAAAAUACGAUAGGAAUAUGUAGAAAAGAAAUAUAAUAGGAUGUUUCUCAUUGAAGUUGGCUUCCUUACUUAUAGGAAACCUAAUACAGCUUCUACCGUCUUACGUCGAUGUCGGAGGUAUUCCCCCUGUU
rnacentral:lncRNA from 1 species